UGCAUGCAUUCGGAAACUGACCCUCCUUCGGGUUUACAUCAAUCGUAUGAAAGCAUAAGAAUUUAGUCUGAAAAUUUUUCGGUGGAUAAAUUUAACAAGUUUCUUAAUUCGAGUUAUCUGAUCAAAUAACAGAGAACAAGAUUAUACAAAUUGUGCAGCAGUACAAUAAAUUUGACUUCUUCAACCGAAAAUUGAACUUGUGAAAAAAUGGCAGCAAGCGACAAAUCUGUCGAUGACUCCCUCUACCCGAUCGCUGUACUAAUCGAUGAGUUGAAAAAUGAGGAUGUGCAGUUACGAUUGAACUCUAUUAAAAAACUGUCGACAAUUGCUCUUGCACUGGGCGAAGAACGUACGCGUUCUGAACUGAUUCCGUUUUUGACCGAAACAAUCUAUGACGAAGAUGAAGUACUUUUGGCAUUGGCUGAUCAACUCGGCAACUUUACAAGUUUGGUGGGUGGACCCGAAUAUGCCAUGUAUUUAAUACCACCUUUGGAGAGUUUAGCAACAGUUGAAGAAACUGUUGUGCGUGACAAAGCUGUAGAAUCAUUGCGUACAGUGGCAGCAGAGCAUAGUGCCCAAGAUUUGGAAAUACACGUUGUACCAACAUUGCAACGUUUGGUCUCAGGUGAUUGGUUCACUUCACGUACAUCAGCUUGUGGACUCUUCUCUGUAUGUUAUCCAAGAGUUACCCAACCCGUAAAAGCAGAAUUACGUGCAAACUUCCGUAAGUUGUGUCAAGAUGAAACGCCGAUGGUACGCAGAGCUGCAGCUAGCAAAUUAGGAGAAUUUGCAAAAGUCGUUGAAAUUGAAUAUCUCAAAUCAGAUUUAAUACCGAAUUUUGUGCAGUUAGCACAAGAUGAUCAGGAUUCUGUACGUUUGUUGGCCGUAGAAGCCUGUGUUAGCAUUGCCCAAUUGUUACCUCAAGAAGAUGUUGAGCACUUGGUUUUGCCGACUCUACGUCAAUGUGCCAGCGAUUCUUCUUGGCGUGUGCGAUAUAUGGUGGCAGAAAAGUUUGUAGAUUUACAAAAGGCUGUUGGGCCUGAGAUUACACGUGUUGACUUAGUGCCCGCUUUUCAGUAUUUACUGAAAGAUGCAGAAGCUGAAGUUCGUGCUGCAGUUGCUACAAAAGUAAAGGAUUUUUGCGCUAAUCUUGAUAAAACCAACCAGGUCCAGAUUAUCAUGAAUUCAAUAUUGCCAUAUGUGCGCGAUUUGGUGUCAGAUCCCAAUCCUCAUGUAAAAUCUGCUUUGGCGUCCGUUAUUAUGGGAUUAAGUCCUAUGUUGGGUGCGUACAAUACUGUCGAACACCUUUUGCCCUUAUUCCUUAUACAACUCAAAGAUGAAUGCCCAGAAGUUCGUUUAAAUAUAAUAUCUAACUUGGAUUGUGUUAAUGACGUCAUUGGUAUUCAACAACUCUCACAGUCGCUAUUGCCAGCUAUUGUUGAAUUAGCUGAAGACUCGAAAUGGCGAGUACGUUUGGCAAUUAUUGAAUAUAUGCCCGCAUUAGCAGGUCAAUUGGGGCAAGAAUUCUUCGAUCAAAAGCUUCGUGGCUUAUGUAUGGGUUGGUUAAAUGAUCAUGUGUACGCCAUUCGAGAAGCAGCUACUUUGAAUAUGAAGAAGUUAGUUGAACAGUUUGGUGCCCAAUGGGCUGAGCAAGCUAUUAUUCCUAUGAUCUUGGUUAUGUCACGUAAUAAAAACUAUUUACACCGUAUGACUUGUCUUUUUUGCUUAAAUAUGCUGGCUGAGGUUUGUGGAACAGAUAUCACAACCAAAUUGCUGCUACCUACAGUACUUCUAUUGGCAGCAGAUCCAGUGGCCAAUGUUCGAUUCAAUGUUGCAAAAACACUACAGAAAAUUUCCCCUUUCCUUGAAGCUAGUGUUAUUGACUCACAGGUGAAGCCAACACUUGAGAAGCUAAAUGCAGAUCCAGAUGUCGAUGUAAAACAUUUUGCGUCAGAAGCGAUUGCGGGUAUCGCAGCAGAAAUGGAAUUAGACAUAUUUAGAAGUGUUAUUCCACCAGUUGAGGGUAAAGUGAAUUCUGCAGCCCUAAUGGCUAAAUUGGCUGUCCAGCCGCCAACAGAACGUACCAUAGAAGACGACGCAUUUAAUUGUUAGUUGAGUGAAAUUUGAAUUUAUCCUUUUUAUAUAUGUAUAUAUUCAUACUGUAUGUGUCUGUUGUGCAUUUUCACCACAUAUUUUAACUGGAAAUUCCGAUUCAAUUGAUUAGCUUUUANGAUUUGUCUGGUAUCUAGUUUAAGGCAUUUCUAUUGCAAUGAUUAUUUAUCAAAGAAAGUUAAUAGUGCAGUAAUGCAAACAUGCUUCUAUUAAUAAUAAUAAAUUUGUUAAUAUCUUA
rnacentral:misc_RNA from 1 species